UUGCCUAACAAUGCGACAUUUGGC
rnacentral:siRNA from 1 species